AUCCAGCCGACGAGUUUCAAAUGGGACGAAACGCGCGUCCUAGAU
rfam:Schistosoma rodhaini strain Burundi genome assembly, scaffold: SROB_scaffold0004041